UCUAAUUUCCAUUGCUGCAUUCAAAAUUAAAUACAAAUAAAAGGAGCAAAAAAACGUUCAUAGCAAGAAAAAAAAAAUGGCAGCACCUAAAAUCAUUGUUCUUGCUCUCGUUUUCUUCGCCAUGGCUUGUAUGGUCUCCGCCAUUGAUGAAUAUUCUACAACAACUGCAGCUUUGAAAGACGCAGCUAAUGCUCCUAUUCCGGUUGAAAACAACAACAUUAUUGGUAAUUUUUAUAUUUUUUUUACUUAGUUUUCGAAUAUAUAUAAAUAAUGAAGUUACUGUUCAAAAGAUUCUAAAAUGUGUCAACGUAAAUUGAGACAGGUACGAUUAAUGGUAUUGAUGAAAAUGAAGCUGUAUCUGCUGCACCAGUUGGUGGACCAGUUUCAGGAGUUACUUUUCCUGACAUAAGCCUACCACCAGCACCCAAUGGAGGCAGCAGUAGCAAUGCUAUUGAUUUCACCACAAUUGCCACAAUUAUUGUUGCUGUU
rnacentral:lncRNA from 1 species